CCCACCCCCAACGUCUCUCCUUCCCCCUCUGUAAUCGUUUCCUCUCGAUUUUUCUCUCCACAUCUCUCUGCCGUCACUGCCCUUACACGCCAGAUUACCGCACUUCGCCGUCGUCGCUCAACCACCGCUCUGCCACCCAUACCGAACUACGGCAACAACCCCUGCUUUACACCACAGAAAACAGAGCAGCGCUCCUUUCAUCCACCGCAAACCUCCCAGUCGCACCUUCUCGUUGAAUCCACACCACGACAAUCCCAGACUUAACCACCACCCCACAUCAUCCGAAACCCAGCACCACGCCUCCACCAUUGUUGCCUCCGUUCUAAGCAAGGAAAAACAGAGCACGGUUGUUUUCCUCAAAGCACGGCAAACCAACGACAGCAACACCCUUCAGCCGUCCAGCACUGAAACGGCACCACCACGUCGGAACCACUGUGGAAGAAGAUGUUAUGCAUGCUUUCGGAGGGAGACAUGAACCAGAAGCAAGAAAAGGAAACGAUCGAUUGGGGGUUUUCCGAAAUCAAGGCUCUGCAGGGGUCUGCACUCAUUGAUAAGAAGCGUAUCAAGAAAAUCAGAUUUGCUGCUGUUGUUCAGUCGGCAGAGGGGUUCAGUGCAGAGGAAGCCAGCACGUACGAUAUAUUAUGUGCUGUUUCUUUCUCUUCUAAUGGUUUGAGCUUCCGUCUGGAGGAAACAUGACUGUUCCUUUUGCAAGGCUGUUCAUGAGCGGUUUGGAGGAAAGUCUGCAUGUUCCAUUCUUAUUAGUUGCAGUUUUGUGUUUUCUGUCUUCUCUUGGUUUCUUUGGCCUAACUCUUUUGUUUCUUUAAUCUUUUUGGAGGUCAAGUACGGAGCAAAUUUGAGUGUUCUUUUCUAAUGGUCUUCGUCUACUGUCGGGAGAGUAUCUGUCCGUGUUUUAUUUUCUACCGACUCAUUUCAUGCGUGUGGUUUUCUCCCUUCAGUUUUUGGCCUUAUUUUAUGUCAUCUCUGAUCUUGAAUUCUCUGUUGUGGUUGCCAUGCUCUUCUUUUGUUUGGAGAGGUUGAAAGCAUGGGAUUGACUGAGAUGAGUACGUAGGACUGCAGGUGAUGAGAUGAUUUAUUUGUUUCUCUUCGUAUGAUUCAAGCUUCAUGUGGGGUUAUCAUGGUUGAUGCCUGAUGGAAUCGUAAGUUUUUGAAGCUAGAUUAGAUCAUUUGUUUAUUGCCAAUUUGGGUCUAUUAGAGUGAAUAAAAAAAUGGAAAUUUCGAUGAGAUCCUCUUCUUCAAACAGAACCUGUGUGAAUGUGGGAACUAUUAGGCAUUUUGAUCAUGAGACAACCUCAUUCGUUGCUUAUGUGGAUGUUUUAAUUUCCCCAAUUGUUACCUGUCUUAUUUCAUGCUUUUCUGAAGUAUUAAAAUUUGGACUUGUGAUCAUAUUGCAUGGAAUACAAAAUGCUUCACUAACCUUGAUUCUGGAAUUUUCAUGUGAUGCUUUUCAAGGGGCUGUUAGAAGAGGCAGACCUAAGGCUGUUGCCUUCGAUGGAAUUGACAAGGCUCCAGAAGAGAAAAAGAGAGGAAUUACAAUUGCAACGAGAAGUUGAAAACACGGGAUUGACUGAGUUGUGUAAGUAGGACUGCAGGGGCUGAGAAGAUUUAUUUGUUUCUCUUCUUAUGGUUCGUGCUUCAGUCUAGAUGAAAUGUGGCUGUUCUUUGUUGUGGAGCAAAUUUCAGAGUUCUUUUUGCAAGGCUGAUAAUUUGUUGGGGGGUCUUCCUCUACGUCCAGGAGAGUAUCUCUCUGUGUUUUUUUUCCUUCCGACUCAUUUUGUGCGUGUGGCUUUCUGUCUUCAGUUUUGGGCCUUAUUUUUUGUUGUCUCUUAUCCAAUUUUCUCUGUUGUGGCUGCCCGCUUGUUUUGUCUGGAGAAGUUAAAAACAUGAGAUUGACCGAGCUGUGUAAGUAGGACUGCAGGGGCUGAGAUGAUUUAUUUGUUUCUCUUUGUAUGGUUCGUGCUUCAGUCUAGAUGAAAUGUGGCGGUUCUUUGUGUAAGUCUGUUCAUCUGCGUUUUGGUGGAAGUCUGUACGUUUUCUUCUUACAAGGCCCAGUCUUGUGUUUUAUGUCUUUUCUUGUUUUUUUUUUUGCCUAAUCGUUUUCUUUCUUUAAUCUAUUUUGAGGUCAAGUUUGGAGCAAAUUUAGUGUUUUUUUUUGCAAAGUUGAUUUGCGGGGUGCUUCAUCUAUGGCCGGGAGAGUAUCUCUCUGUGUUUUUUUUUUUCUUCCGACUCAUUUUGUGCGUGCGGUGUUCUGUCUUCAGUUUUGGGCCUUAUUUGUUGUCGUCUCUGAUCCAAUAUUCUCUGUUGUGGCUGCCUUGCGCUUGUUUUGUCUGGAGAAGUUGAAAAUAUGGGAUUGACUGAGCUGAGUAAAUAGGAGUGCAGGAGUUGAGAUGAUUUAUCUGUUUCUCUUCGUAUGGUUCGUGCUUUAGUCUAGAUUAAAUGUGGCUUAUCUUUGUGUAAGUCUAUUCAUCUGCUUUUUGGUGGAAGGUCUAUAUGUUCUGUUCUUAUGUGGCCCAGUCUUGGUUUUUUUUGCCUAAUUUUUUCUUUUCUUUAAAUUGUUUUGAAGUAAAGUUCGGAGCAAAUUUGAGUGUUCUUUUUGCAACGCUGGUAGUUUGCUGUUUGGAGGAAGGUCUCUAUGUUCUGUUCUUACUAGGCGUAGUUUUGUGUUUUUUGCCUAAUUCUUUUGGUUUCUUUAAUCUUUCUAUAGGUCAAGAAUGGAGUAAAUUUCAGUGUUCAUUUACUCUGGCAGAGACUAUUCUCAUUUGUGGUUGCCAUGCGCUUGUUUUGUCAAGAGAAAACACAAGAUUUACUUAUCAAAUAAAAGAAAACACAGGAUUGAUGGAGCUGAGUUAAUAAAAAUGCAAGAGAUGAAAUCAUUUGUUUCUUAUUCAUAUCAUUUGAGCUUCAGUCUAGUGAUGUGACGGUUCUUUUGAAAGGUUGUUCUUUUGCAGUUUUGAGGAAGUGUCUCUAUGUUCAGUUCUUACUAGGCUCACUGUUGUGUUUUCAAUCUUCUGUUAUUUUUGUUUUUGCAUAAUUUUAGUGUGCUACUGGCUCACUGCUUUCGAUGAAUUUGCCAAAAUGGGGGUUUUCCUUUUUCACAGAACCCUUCGUGCAUAGAUGCAAGCUUCCUAUCCAAAGAGACCUGAAACUAAAACCUCUGGAAUUCUUUCUGAACACAAACCAAUUUUGAUUUACUUUUAUUUUUCUCAUAUGUUUUUCUAUUUUCUCUUAUCGAUGAAAAAAGAAAUAUUUUUUUCUAUUUUCUCAAUCAGUGGCUUUCUGCUGUCUUGGCAGUAGGGGAGUUGUUUUGACAUGGCUGAUUGGGCUUAGCAGGGGAAUUACAUUUGCAAAGGAGAAGUUGAAAACAUGGAUUGACCAAGUAGAGUAAAUAGGACUGCAGGAGCUGAGAUGAUUUAUUUGUUUCGCUUUGUUUGGUUCGUGCUUUAGUCUAGGUGAAAUGUGGCUGUUCUUUGUGUAAGUUUGUUCAUCUGCAUUUUGGUGGAAGGUCUGUAUGUUCUGUUCUUACGAUGUGCAGUCUUGUGAUUUAUUGGUUCUUUUGCCUAAUUAUGUCAUUUCUGUAAUUGUUUUGAAGUCAUGUUUAGAGCAAAUUUGAGGGUUCUUUUUGCGAGGCUGAUCAUUAGCGGUUUGGAGGAAGGUCUCUAUGUUGUGUUCUUACUAGGCCCAGUUUUGUGCUUUUUGCCUAAUUCUUUUGGUUUCUUUAAUCUGUUUAGAGGUCAGGAACAGAGCAAAUUUGAGUGCUCAUUUACUCUGAGUAUUUGUCUGUGGGUUGAGAGUAUUUCUCUGUGGUUUUUUUCUUCCAACUCGUCUUGUGUGUGAUUUUGUCUCUUCAGUUUUUGGGCUUAUUUUAUGUUGUCUCCGAUCUGGUGUUCUCUGUAAUUGAUGCCAUGUGUUUGUUUUGUUUGGAAAAGUUAAAAAGACGGGAUGUACCGAGCUGGGAUUGACCAAGCUGAGUAAUGGAUGUGGACCAGGUUUUCUUUUCAUGCAAAUCUGUGGAUAGUAUAACAAAUUGGAAUUGGGUGAAUGUGGUUGCAGAACUCCCAUUGGCAUGUGUGCUUGAAAUUUCCUUUCCCAUGUCAUGUAUGUGCCGCAUAGUUACUGCACGUUCUUUGAUCCUUGUCUCUGUGUAACUCAAGUUGAUUUUGGGAUGCAUGGAAAGCUUAUUUUGUCAUAGUUUGGUCUUAUGAAAGGGUUGAUUUAGGGCGGCUGGUGUGGCACAGUCAAGACUUCCCCUUUUGUUUUGUUUUCUGAUUUAUAAAAGUUUUUUGAACUCUUGCUUCUUUGAAAAUCUUUACUCUGGUCAUUGCUAAAAGAACAGAUCGCAUUGUGAAGAGAACAAGUUUUUUUAAUGCGAAAUUUCCAUCCAGUCCUCGGGGGGAUUGUGCUUUGCUUACUUCUUGUUUGGCAUUUUCCUCUUUCCACUUCUACUGGAUCCACGUUCUUGGGAUAUGAUUUUAUCUUGUGCAGAGAGACUGAACAGCGCAUGAGUCGUGUCGAGAAGUUGAACGUCGAGGAUUGACCAAUGAAUAGACCUGCAUGAGAUGAGAUGAUUUGUUUUUGUCUCUUCGUAUGGUUUGAGCAUCAGUCUACAGCAAACGUGAAGGUUCCGUUUGCAAGGCCGUUCAUCUGCGUUUAGGUGGAAGGUCUUGAUGUUCUAUUAUUAUGAUGUGCACCGAGACAGUAAAAGAACAAGGAUGAUCAUUUGUGCGGGGAAAGGGGGGGGGGGUCCUUUGUCUACGGCCGGUUGAGAACACGGGAUUGACCGAGCUGAGUAAGUAGGACAGCAAGAGAUGAGAUGAGUUGUUUGUUUCUCUUCUUAUGGUUUGAGCUUCAGUCCGGAGGAAUCAUGACGGUUCUUUUUGCAUGGCUGGUCAUCUGCAGUUUGGAG